CCUACGGGAGGCAGCAGUGGGGAAUAUUGGACAAUGGGGGCAACCCUGAUCCAGCCAUGCCGCGUGUGUGAAGAAGGCCCUCGGGUUGUAAAGCACUUUCAGUGAGGAAGAACGCCUGGUGGUUAAUACCCAUCAGGAAAGACAUCACUCACAGAAGAAGCACCGGCUAACUCCGUGCCAGCAGCCGCGGUAAUACGGAGGGUGCGAGCGUUAAUCGGAAUUACUGGGCGUGAAGCGCGCGUAGGUGGCUUGAUAAGCCGGUUGUGAAAGCCCCGGGCUCAACCUGGGAACGGCAUCCGGAACUGUCAAGCUAGAGUGCAGGAGAGGAAGGUAGAAUUCCCGGUGUAGCGGUGAAAUGCGUAGAGAUCGGGAGGAAUACCAGUGGCGAAGGCGGCCUUCUGGACUGACACUGACACUGAGGUGCGAAAGCGUGGGUAGCAAACAGGAUUAGAUACCCGGGUAGUC
rnacentral:rRNA from 1 species